rnacentral:rRNA from 1 species
UCCUGGCUCAGAACGAACGCUGGCGGCAGGCCUAACACAUGCAAGUCGAGCGAGGACUUCGGUCCUAGCGGCGGACGGGUGAGUAACGCGUGGGAACGUGCCCUUUGGUACGGAAUAGCCCCGGGAAACUGGGAGUAAUACCGUAUGGUGUCUUCGGACUAAAGAUUUAUCGCCAAAGGAUCGGCCCGCGUUGGAUUAGGUAGUUGGUGGGGUAAUGGCCUACCAAGCCGACGAUCCAUAGCUGGUUUGAGAGGAUGAUCAGCCACACUGGGACUGAGACACGGCCCAGACUCCUACGGGAGGCAGCAGUGGGGAAUCUUAGACAAUGGGGGCAACCCUGAUCUAGCCAUGCCGCGUGAGUGAUGAAGGCCCUAGGGUUGUAAAGCUCUUUCAGCUGGGAAGAUAAUGACGGUACCAGCAGAAGAAGCCCCGGCUAACUCCGUG